AAUGCUGCUAAACACUUAUAAAAAUACAAUGGCUAGGAGGACCCUCAUUUGGAAAGAAUGAUUCCAUAGAUCCAUAGACCAUAGAUUCACAGUCUAUGAUUUGAGGUCGUUUGUGAAUGAGAUUCAGAACGCGUGGCUCUCCUGGUCCUCUGCUCCCCUUCACCUCCGUGUUAGAUAUGGGUGCCUUAGGCGGGGCGGGGUGGGGGGUCUCCUGCUGGAGGGCUCAGGGCCCCACUCUUCUACGGGACAAAAGCCUUCAGGUCAACCUUGUGCCCCUGGGGAGAGGAGUGGUGCCCUCAGGGUGGCCUGGCCUGGGCAGGGAGGGUCUCCUUGUUGGGCUGGGGUGAACAGCAGGUGGAGGGACACAACCUGAGUCAUCCGUGGGACACGAUGCCCCCUUCUCCUGAUGUCCUCUUCCUCCAGCCAGGGGCUCAUCACUGGGGUAUCUGGGUUACCUUGGUUACAACAUGGGAAAAGGAAGUUUUGCGAAUGGCUUCUCCUUGGGUGCUUUCAGACUUAAGAAAUAGCUCCACCAUUUGUGGCCAGCUUUCUGCUGGUUUCCUUCUGUGAUGAUAGCAGCCACCAGUUCGCCUCAUGACAUGCCUACAUCAGCCAAGCAUUGUGUUAAGAGCUGAAAAUACAGCGGUUAUUCACGCUGGCUGUCCUGGGGGCAGGGGAGCUGACCGUUGAUUUGGGAGAAAGGCACAAGUGUGUGAGUCACCUCCAUGUAAUGAAGUGAGUACUCUUCUUGGAUUAUGACAGAAUCAUAGAGGAGAGCCGCCCACCCAGGGUGGGGCAUUCCUGAGAAGGUUCUGGAACAGAGAGGGAGGCUGAGCUGAAUCCUGAUGAAGAAAGGACUUAGCCAGGCUGGAGUGGGUUGUGAGAAGAUCCAAGGGACGGGGGCACCCAGCUUGGGUCGAGACUACAUUUCCAACAGUGGGAGUUCAGGGUCAGAAGGUAGAAUGACAACUACAGAAAACUUUCAAUACCAGGUUUUCCCUCCAAGGAAAUCAACGUCCAUUGGCGUUCCCCUCCGCAGAGCAUGAGAGUCUUUCUAUCCCCACCUGCCCCUCCACCCGUGUUAUUAAAACUCACUUCCUCCACCUGUGCCAACUCAGUGUUUUUUUUUUUUUUUUUUUUUUAAGGUGCACGUGAGAGCCUCUAACCGUCACUGUGAGUUGCAUUUUGGGAGAAACAAAUGGCACCAUGGGGGACGAUAGGGGAGCAGGUGUUGCAAAGGCAGUUCUGAGCCCGGAAAGGGCUGACCUGGCGGGAGGGCAGAGAAGAUUGAGCUGAGGAGUGAGCUGGCUGGCUUGUCAGUGAGCACCAAGCCCGGGGACAAGGCCCUUCUUCAUUUCUAGAACCCCCGCCCUGGCCAUGAGGAGCUGGAGGGCCUCCAGAGACCUGGAAGAAUUUGUGGGUGAGGUCCAGGGACAACUGGUAUAUGGUCUGGGCUGGUUUUUGUUCUUCUUUCAAGAGGCAAUCCUGUGGGUUCUUUGCUGACAGCAUCCGGGGCGGGGUUCCAGGAACAGCACGGAGCGGGGUGCAUGCUCUUGGGUGAGCAGAGUCCGCCUCUCCCUUGACUUUGCCUUGGGGUGACUGCAUGUGGCCUUGUGCUCCCAGAUGCAAGGCUGCAUGAUUCCCGAUUGGGGAAGAGAGGCAAAGGGCUGUUAGAGACACGCACCCAGCUGGAGCGAGCGCGGAGAAAAUCUGCCUCACCCUCAUUCAUACAUUCCCGGGCUUGCAAGGUCGGCACUGGGUGUCGGAUGGGCUGUGUUUCCUUUUGCAUUCACCCUUCCUUAGGGACCCUCUGGAAAGUCCCUGCUUCUCCCAUGCUGCCCCCAAGGGGAGCUGCUUCUCUCUGGUUGUUUUGCAUACAGCAGACACCAGGCCUUUCUCCAGACUAUUUAGUGUGUGUGUGUGUGUGUGUGUGUGUGUGUGUGUGUGUGUGUGUUUCCCCAAAAGAGAAAGAAAGAAAGAAAAUCGUUUGGUUUACAGUCUGUAGUUACUUGUCUCUGGGUUAGGAUCGCUGGAGGUUGCCCCCGCCUCGCGUCCAGCUUGACUUCCAAGUUUCUGAGGCCACAUUUAGCCCCUACUCCCCGCCCCUGAGCUCCUUCAAGGACUGUCAACUCCCUUGAAAUUGACACCCCAGAGAGUUGGAAUGGGAAUCCUCACUCCCUGUAAAUUUGGAGUUGUAUUUUGUUGCUGCAGCUUGCUCAUUUCCUGGUUAUUCUCAUGGAUAAUUCCUGGAUUAUCCAUGAAUUGGAUAUAUAUGUAUAGAUAUAUCUUCUUCUUCCCCCCCAAGGCCCUGUUUUUGUGUGUGUCAGGCAUCAUUUCCAGAGAGCCCACACUCCACCUAGAUUCUGUAUUGGUCUCUGCAUGCGGGGUUUAGGGCCGCUGUUACCCAAUUACCACAAACCAGGUGACUUAAAACAACAGAAAUGUAUUGUCUCACAGUUCUGUGAGUCAGAAGCCAGAAGCAGAGUUGGCUCCUUCUGGAGGCUCUGAGGGAGAAUCUGUUCUAUGUCCCUCUCCUCGCUUCUGGUCAUUGCUGGCAACCCGUGGCUUUCCUUGUCUUGUAGAUAUGUCACUCCAGCCUCUGCCUCUGUCUUCAUAUGGUGUUUUCCUCUCUGUAUGUGUCUUUGUGUGUCCUCUCCUUAUAAGGACAAAAGUCACUGGGUUUUAGGGCCCACCCCAAUCCAGUAGGAUCUCACCUUAACUAAUUACAUUUGCAAAGACCCUAUUUCCAAAUAAGGUCACAUUCUGAGGUUCUGGGUAGACAUGGAUUUUCAAAGGUCACCAGUAAACCCACCACAGUCUCUCCACCUUCCGACCCUUCCUUCCACCGAUCCGUCCCAUGCACCUUGCCAGAGCCAUUUUUCUCAAACCUCCUUAGCAGGAGCAACCAACUCUUAUGCCAAAAAUCUCCACUGACUUCCCGCUGCCAACAGAAUAAAGUCCUAUCUCUUUAGCUCAGCUUCAGAAGACUCACCAUAGUGUUGCUCCAGUGAUCUUUUUCACAUUCCUUUUCUCCACUCUCCUUCACACAUUCUCCAGCUGCAUCUGGAAGGUCUUCUGUGGCGUGGCACAUGCUGUAAAGGGCUCUUGUCUUCUGCUAGGGCCUCUGUCCCUUGCCUAGAUGCUCUCCUUUUCAAGCAUCCAUGUCAUGUCAUAGCCUUUUUUCUCUGAUGAGAACAUCCCUGGCCAGUCGAGAUCAAGGGCUCAGCGCUGACCACAGACCAACUUAGAUGCCACCCCCUUCCUUCCCCCAUCCUCAGUGAUGACCGAUGCUACUCUCUGCCAAGUGGAAUUUUUAUCCAAAGAUAAGCCUGUGUCUAAUACGUCUUUGGGUCUUUGGAUUGGAAAAUGAUGCAUUGAAUCUUGUGACUUCUUGGCAAAUGACUGUGGGUGCCGCUGCUGUGAGCACAUGAGGGGAAUGAUUUGAAUCUGAAGCAACCAGGAUGCUCAUGGGUCAGUGCAUGAACUCCAUGCCUAUAGCCCCACUAGGUCUGAAGCAGAUGAAGAUCCCCUGUGUGGAGAUGAAAUGAGGGGAAGGAGAGAAUGGCUGCUGUAUUGAGAGUCAAGGGCAGUGGUCUUUCAAAGGAAGAUGUAGGAGAAGUAGAUCCCUAAGGUUGGGUACUGAGGGGCACUGGGCUCAGUGGGAAGGGUUGUAGUGAUAUCCAGCAGGCCCCCUCCCCAUCCUCCCUGAUGGACGGUUGGUGAGCAAGAUGGCAGGUGGGGCAGGGCUAGGGAGGGAGGUAAAAUGGAGACCUAGGGUACAAUGAACAGAAUGGGUUCCAACACCUUUCACUUCCAGCUUUCACAGAUGCCCUGAACACUUGAAAGCAACAAGGAAGUUUUCAUUCCAAAGAGUGAUGCUGGCGUCUUUUUCUAGCCCCUCCCAAGUGGCACUGAUUGACCAUUGACAACUGGCUCUUCAAACUCUCUUCCAAAGCAUUGCAUCUCUGUGGAGACACAUGAGGAAUGUAGUUCAUCUGCAAGGAGCUUCUGAGCUGGACAGACUGGAAUAAGAGAACCCAGCAGAAAUGGAGGGAGAAGCAAGAGGUCCAGAGUCUGGGAAAAUGUCAUUGGAAAGUAGCUAGCAUGGAAAUGUGAGUUUCCCUCCCUCUACUAUUCUGAUAUUCUCAGGAGCUGGGAAGCUGGCAUAAAAAAUAGUCAAAGUUUUAAAGCUGCAAUGGACUAUAUUCUGUUUCUUUCAAAAUUCUUUUCACAUCCUCCCUGGCAGAGAGGCCUGCCUGCUUUCCUAUCAACACUGAAGAAUGUAUAGCAGCAUCUAUAUAUACAGCCUGAGGUGUGCUCCCAGAGCCUGAUGGUUGGAGCUGCCUCCCUGGCUCUUUCUUCCAAUUGAUGGAAUGGUGUCUGUAAAAAUGUUUUGAAAAUAUGAAAAGUGGCAAAUUGGCCUUCAUGACAAAUAGAACUUAAUGUAACAUAUUUUACAUGUUAAAUCUCCACGAACAAAAGCGAUCUCUAAUGUUUUCUUUCUCAGGGCAAAUUUCUUGGCAUUUACACACCUUCAGUGUUUUACUGUGAUCCUGGCUGGUGGCGGGGGGAGUUAUCAUAAUAAAUAAAACAGCUUUCACCUGUAUGGAGCUUAUGAUUUAUCUGAUAGCAACCCAUUGUGUCUCACCCCCGAGAGAGGUGGGGUGCAGGUGAUGGGGAAGAGGUCCUCAUGUUGCAGCCCCCAGAUGGAACCUGUUUGACUCCCUCCCCUAAUCCCCCAACUCCCUGCUCCUCCAAACCCUGGGCUGUUAAGUGCUCCUUUGAAGGAGAGGGAGUCAGAGGUAUAAGAAAUACCAGCUUCUGAGACUUUGAUGGCUGAGCCCAGUAUGGUCUGGGGUGUCUCUCCCUGAGUUAAUGGCAUGGGGACUCCCCAACAGCAGUUGACCCAACUGAUCCACUCCACUGUGGGAAAAGUAGGCUCUGCUUCUCCAGUGUCCCAAAUGGGGUGUGGGGUGGCAGUGGGCACAGGGGACAACUGUUGAGGCAACUUCGACCCUUCGACACCCAGGGUUGCAUUGGACAGAAGCUGAAAGGAGGAGAAUAGAAAUGCACAGUGUUUGUGUUUUGCACUCCCCCCCACCUUGAAACAGUGAAAUUGGGAGGGGGAGCAAGAAGGGACAGGGGACAGGCUUGUUUAUUUUAAUUUAAUUUUUUUAAGUUUAUUUUGAGAGAGAGAGAGAGAGAACAAUAGGGAGAGGGGCAGAGGGAGAGGGAGAGAGAGAGAAUCCCAAGCAGGCUCCUCACUUUCAGCCCAAAGCCUGACUCGAGGCUUGAUUUUAUGAACCGUGAGAUCACAACCUGAGCCAAUAUCAAGAGUUAGAUGCGUAACCAACUGAGCCACCCAGGUGCCCCCAGGCUUGUUCAUUUUAAGGAGAGUAGAGUGGAAUCAGAAAAGAUAGUCUCAUCCAGAUGGUAGUAAAUACGGUACUGUUUUUGAGUGCCUAUUGUCUUCCUGGGACUGGCUACCUGGUACUCAUCCUGGGUGUGGAUUUCUCAAGUUGCCAACCAUGGCACACGUGAAAUACUUCCUACAACUUGAUUUCUACCCAGAGUUGUCAUUUCAUCUGGCAGUAGAAAUUUAAUGAUUAAUUCGCCAUAGUUCAGCCACUCUGGGUUUUCUGAGCAUGCUUGGAAUGUAACAGCUUAAUUCUUUCAAAGCUCAUCCAUCACCCUUAUGCCUCCCUCCCCUGGGAUUUUCACCCAAGAUCUGAGAGCCUUAAUGGUCACUGGGGGUGGGGUGGUGGGGUAAUGACCAAGGGGAGGGGAGUGGUGGUCUUGGGAGCCAUUCCCUGUGGAGUACCUGUGGGCCUUCUCCCUGACACUUCUGGCUGUGACCCUCUUGGUCUGUCUGCCAUCCCAAGCCAGCUCUAAAAUGAAUGCACUCGUGGUGGGGGCAGUUUCUGGUGCCUUGAGCUUUUUCUUAUUCUUCAGUGCUCCUUUAAAAGUAAUGUUAUUUUUUUUUUUAAUAACUAGAAGUUUGUACUUCUUAACCCUAUUUUGCCCAUCCCUCCCACCCCGGCAACCA